AGCAAUAUGAGUAGUGUGAUUUAUGCCAAUGUGAUGUACAGAUUUGAAGAAGGAGACAUCAAGAUUCCCAGUAAUUUCCUGGCCGAGAUUCUCAAAAUCAGUGGCGAUCUGACUACAACAGGAGCUCCCAGUACUUCUGUCCUCCUAAUCUCAUUAGCAUCCACCACAGCCAGUAAAGGGGGUUUCCCAGGCUGGGCCCUGGCUAUCAUCAUCCCCUGUGGGAUUGCAAUCCUCCUCUUGCCCCUCUGGAUCCUUCUGUGUUGUCUGCAAUGUCGCUGCUGUGCCGCUUGCAGACGGAGAUGGCGUCGAAGACAAUCUUACCAAGUGCAGUACCAACAGGAAAUGUUCAAAGAGGCAACUUCACUUUUCUAAGAGUGACGUUUAAGCAGUACAAAAAAGCAUGUCUUCAUUUUCUAUAUAAAAUGGAACACAGUAAUUUUCAAUCCAAUUAUACUCACCGCCCAGCCUGUCUGUAUUAGGAAAAGAGUAUUUUAUUUUUUUAUAUAUGUAUUUACAGUAGAUGUUACUUUUUUUGUGAAGUGAUUGAAUUUCACUUAUUUUGGUUCAACUGAUUCUUUGUCAACCCCAGGAUUCAGAAGCUGUCCUCUUCUCCCUUCUAGCACAAUACUGCAAAACUGCAGCUCCCAUUUAAAGGAGAGAAAUUGCACCACUCAAAAAAAAGGUAAAAAAUCAAAUCCUAACAUAGUGUUACAGUACUAGACGACCCACCGACUUCACAGCCUUAAACAGUUCUGCCAUCAGAACUACAUUUCCCAUAAUCCUCUGUUGACAGAGGAGGUGUGUGUCCUGAGGGACUUUACCUCUCAGAGUCCCAUAAUCGCUAAAAAAGCCUUUUACAGACUCCUAACACUUGAUAUAGCAAAACAAAUCUGUUGUGAAAUGUAUGAGCAUUGUUACUCAUUCUAUGUACUGAACAGUGAAAUUAAAGAGAGAGAAUCUGAUAAUCACCUAAGAAAAUGAAUGAAUUAACAGUUAGAUGUAUUUAUUUCUAGGCCCAAAUGGAUUGAGAUUUUAAUUGAGAAUUGAUCAGUUGUUUAUUAGAGUCUCAUGUUCGGCUGUGAGUUUCCAGCAACAUGGCUAGACAGCUCGACAGUACGGGUUACUUACAGUAUCAUUAUUGUUUUUUUUUUAUUAUGCACUGUUCACCUACUUGAAUCUCUGAAUGGAAAGUGGAAGUGUUUCUCUUUCAUAGGGGAAAGUCUUUCAUAAUGGGCACUUUGUAUUUCUAUGUAAUUAACUUAUUCAAAAAAUAAUUAUUUCUUUAAAAUGCUGAACCUGUGCGGAUGCAAGUUUUUACAGCAGAUUGUUUUCUGCUCUUCUCAGGAUUGUGCCUGAUGUGUGUGUGUGAGAGAAUGAGAAUCAGGCAUACAGAGAGGAGAGGAGAGUUAUGAGAGAUGUAACUUUGGGCUGUCGGGUCUCUUCGGGACAGGACACUGUUCAACAGGGGCUGGUGUCCCUAGCACUUCCUUCCACUUGGAAACAAAGUCAUUAAACAGGUUUUCAUGAGGAGUAAUGAGAUCCAAGAAUCAGGUGAAUUGCAAAUGUGUAUUGAGUAUUUUAAGCACAGGUUUAGGCUUAACUUACUUGGCUGAGUACCUGGCUCCCUGGCUCCCUGGCUACAGGAUGAAGAGACUCGAACCCCUGUUCAGAGAGAGGAGUUAAACAAGAUGCAUCUGCAAAGCUGAGAGUGUGGAGGAAAGAUGCACGAGACAAUAUGCAAAAAAGAGGAGUUUGCAUGAUUCAUAUAUAGCUUAUGCAGAGAAUUAAUGUGAUUUAGAACAGUUGUGUGAAAUUUGCUAAUUUGCCGAUAUGCCUCCUGAACUUCAGUUCAAAGCGUCUGUCUCCUGUGUUGACUCUGCUCCUCAUUGUGUCCUGUAUUGCGAUCACAUGAGAAAUACUAUUCAUGGACCUGAAGGGUGGAGCCCAGGAAUUUCAGAAGGAAACAUCAUCCUAUGUGUCUGAGAGAGUGUGUGAAUUAAUCUCGCCUUUGUCUCAUUUAGUUUAUCCAGCAUAAUUAUAAUUUAUAUAAAUAUUAUAUUUUCAUAAAGGCAAAUUAUCUUCAAUAAAAAAAAUA
ensembl:lincRNA